rnacentral:rRNA from 1 species
AUUGAACGCUGGCGGCAGGCCUAACACAUGCAAGUCGAACGAGUGGCGGACGGGUGAGUAAUGUCUGGGAAACUGCCUGAUGGAGGGGGAUAACUACUGGAAACGGUAGCUAAUACCGCAUACCCUCGGAUGUGCCCAGAUGGGAUUAGCUAGUAGGUGGGGUAAAGGCUCACCUGGGCGACGAUCCCUAGCUGGUCUGAGAGGAGGACCAGCAAAACUGGAACGGAGAAACGGUCCAGACUCCUACGGGGGGCAGCAGUGGGGAAUAUUGGACAAUGGGGGCAAGCCUGAUGCAGCCAUGCCGCGUGUAUGAAGAAGGCCUUCGGGUUGUAAAGUACUUUAAGCGGGGAGGCGUUACCCGCAGAAGAAGCACCGGCUAACUCCGUGCCAGCCGCCGCGGUAAUAC